GCAUUUAAGACUAAAACACUUUGUUGUAUAAAAAUCAUUAGCACAGAGAUACAAGGACUCAGACAUGGCCUUUGUCCUGAUGAUUAUCUAAUAUAUGGUGACUAUUCAAAUUUAAAAAUGUAUUAGAAUAAAAGACGCAUUGCCAUUGACCUCUCUUAAAAUAUUCUGUCUCACUUUGAACACACUUAUUUCAUUCUUCUGGCAACUUUCUGAAGCAGUUCUGGAAAUACUUUUUUAUGAGUCUCUUUAGGAGGCGAAUGCUGCCUGGUGCCAUCCAAUAAAAGGGCAUGUUCAUAAAACAUGACAGUGCAUCCUCACCCACCUUAUUCACCAGAUCUGGCACCAUGCAACUUCUGAAUCUUCCCCAAAGUCAAAAUGACCAUGAAAAGUAAAUGGUUUGAAUCAAUUCAGGACAGGAGACAACCAAAACAAUGCAACUAAAUGUAUGAAAGAGGACUUCCAGAACUGCUUCAGAAAGUGGCAAAAUUGAUGGCAAAGAAUGUUCAAAGUGAGGGGGAGUAUUUUGAGGGAGAUUCAUAGCAAUGUCUUUAAUUAUAAAUAUUUUGCAAAAAAAUGUUCUGAUAUCCACUAUAUUUUUUAAUUGCAUCAGUAUCAAGAAAUGGAAAUACUAAGGACCACCGAAGAUGUGAGUACUUCCCAAACCCUCCAUCGAUUUGGUAUAAUAAUCACCUAAGUAUUACUUGAGAAGGAUCAAAAGCCAAACCUGUUUCUCUAACUCCUCUUCUACUUGCCAACUUUAGCGUUACCCUCUCUUGCUGGCUCAGACAGAAGUUAGUUACUCCUGUAGGACAGAUGAGCAUCUCUGUGUCAGAGUCCCCAGAGCACUGGGAAUGGCCACUUCCUGUGAAGAAGGAAGUGGGGACAGGGUUGUUGUUCCCAGGACCUGGGCCACAAAGUUCAGUUCAUCAGCUGAGAUUUGUUGAACAUGGUGUGAAGCCUGCUAUGAAGAUGAGAUAUUCUUCAGAUGAAUUUCCAUGUAGAAGAUUGCCUUGGAGUAUGGAGCCACAAGUGUUUUAAUGCAGAGAGUAAUUGUGAACUCAAAUGUAUGCACAUCCCACGCACACGUGCAGACACAGGAAGGAUUCCUCAUGGAUGUCAUGCACACAAUGCACACCAUCUCAAGGAGGCUGCACUUUGAUAAUUUGAAAGUAUGCUCACUUUCCAUGAACAAGAUCAUAAACACAUAGGAUUUUAUGCAUUUAUUAAGGGAUUUACUCUUUCAUUAAAUUGUCCAUUCCACAGUAAGUUAUUUGGUCCCUCCGUAUGUCAGUCAAGUACUAGGAACUAGGAAGCAGUAAUGAAUAGUGACAGUCCUUGUCCGCUCAAAGCGUACCAUCUGUCCCAGAAGUCUCAUUAAUAGGCUAUAAUUAAAGAUGAUUAUUUUAGACAGAACAGAACCACAUAGAAACUUAACAUCAUUUUGGGCUUAUAAAACCAAAAACUAUGAAUAAUUUCUCAAUCCAAGAAUACAUUCAAUAAGUGAAAAUGGUUCCAUUAUAAAACAUACUCAGAAACUAUCAUGCACAGUAGUAGCCUCAAAGGACAACACAGGAAAGGACAUUGACAGUGUGGUGAAGAACACUGCAGGAAGCGAUAGAAAGUCCGGCUAGGAGUCAUGAUUUGGGCUCUCUCAAAGGAGUUCAGAGAUCCCAAACAAGAACUGAGAAGUGGGAAGUCUGAGGGGCUUUCCUGAAGGAAUGGUUAUCAACCCUGCUAAAUCAUCUGGGAAAUCUUUAAACAUACUUAUACCCAGGUCCCACCUCAGAUUAAUUAUAUUAGAAAAUCAGAAAACAAGGCUCAGAGAAAAUCAAUUCCCCCCCACAAGGAGCUACAUUAAGUAUAUAUAGAAAAUGAUAUAAAUUGAAUGGGUGUUCUUUCUAGAGAAAGUUUCCAACAACGAUACAGACACUUGGGAGUAUUUAGACUUAGAUGUCACCAUCUAUAAGAAUGUUGUAGACAAACCUCCUUAUAAAGUCUAGACUAGAUCAGUGGUUACAAAAUUUGGCUGCAUAAAGGUACUUCUGAAGGAAAAUUUAAAAAUUCCUUAGGUUUAUUGGUACAUUUUAGGUAUACAAUAUGAUGACAUUCAUUGGGAAUUUGUACCUUUACAUGAUGUAUCUUGGUUCUUAC
rnacentral:lncRNA from 1 species